rnacentral:rRNA from 1 species
UACGGGGGGGGCAAGCGUUGUUCGGAAUUACUGGGCGUAAAGGGUUCGUAGGUGGCCAACUAAGUCAGACGUGAAAUCCCUCAGCUUAACUGGGGAACUGCGUCUGAGACUGGAUGGCUUGAGUGCAGGAGAGGAACGCGGAACUCCAGGUGUAGCGGUGAAAUGCGUAGAUAUCUGGAGGAACACCGGUGGCGAAGGCGGCGUCCUGGACCAACACUGACACUGAUGAGCGAAAGCCAGGGGAGCAAACGGG